rnacentral:lncRNA from 1 species
UUCUUUCUUUCUUUCUUUCUUUCUUUUUCUUUUUCUUUUUCUUUUUUUUCUCUUUUUUUUUUAAUCCCGGAGACUCCAUUGAAGCUGCUGCAGCCAGAUGGAAGUAAUCAGAGGGAGAAGGAAGAAUUAGGCUCACCGAAGUUGCAGGCCAAAGUGUAGAUGAGGCUGUUCAUGAAAGCAUUUGCUUAAGUAGCCCCGGCUUUCCAUACAGUCCAGAACUGUCCACUCCAAGAAGCAAGCAGGCAGCAAAUGGCCGUGCCCUCCCAAGCCAUGGGACUCAGCUUCCUCUCCUGGGCUCUGCUCUUAGAAAGCUGCCCGCGGGACUUCUUUAUAUUUCUUCCUGAGGUCUAGUUCCUUUGUAUUGCUUAGCCUGCCAUAGGGUAUCCUCCUUUUAAAGGUGGAGUGACUGAUGCCUGAGGACGCUUAGAAACUUGCCCACAAUAAUCUAAGGUCGGUCCAUUUAAAUAGAGGUGUCCUGUUGAGAAUGUUGGUCACAUCUCUUUCGAGCCCCUCCUUCUCAAAGCAAGAGAACCAAGCCUCCAGACCAAUUCCACCCUGCCUUAGAGAAAGCUCCUUCUCAGCCCAUGUUACUCACUGAUUGGAUCACUGUUGGUGGACGGCACAGUUUACACCGUGGGCUCUCCCUUAGCUUUAUUUGUUUCUGCAAGUCAGUAUCUAUUUUAUGAAAUAGCCCAAGGCAUUCCAAAUGCUAUGGAUACUCUCCUUCCGAGGUCCACUUCCAAGACCCUGAGUUUUACAUUUAAAGUUUAUAUUCCACAUAUUGAUUUUGUGGGACAGGGUGUGAGGUCACAGUCCUCUGGCAGCAGUCAGAGGACAGGGCAGAGGGGGCUGUUUCUCUCCUUCUGUCAUGUGGGUGCUGAGGACCCCACCCAGGCUCGCAGCAAGCACCUUUGCUGGCCUAGUCUUUUACUGACCUUGACUUACUUUUUAACAGAAGGGGAAGUGCUGUGUCCCAUUCUUCCUUUCUUGUUACCUUCCUUCUUGAUCUAGAGCGGGGAAGGGCAGAGAUGCUACAAGGAUUUGAUGCUAACUUUGUCUUCCCCAAAGUCAUCUUCCCAGGUUGGAAGUCAGGGGGAGUGGGGGUGGGGAGGUGACAAGGUGUUCAAAUGGAAAACUUUCUGGUGUGGCGAUACAUGGUGGGGUGUGACAGGACGUUUUUCUGAGAAGAUGCAGCUUGUGUCUACUUCUCUGCCCCUCACACCCAGGGAGGAACCCACAAUAGUCCAAAGUGUGGAUACCACUGCAGUCUGACUUGGUGAACCCAUGAGGUUUGUGUCUUACAGGCUGUGGAUGAGGAGUUACUUACAGGAACGGAAAUGACUCAAAGACCAGCUGCACACUGAAGCCCACCCCAGUGUGGGGACAGCUUACCAAGCUGGGAACCUGUGCACCAGGCGGCUCAACAGACUGGAGAGUGUCCUGUGCUCUCCAUGCCUCAGUGGGGCUAAACCUCUUCCAGACAACCAGCCGCUGUCUGCUUCUUUCAGGCUGCUGCUCUGGUGUCCAGACUUUGCCCCUUUGGCUUGUCUGAGCGUCUCCUUGGCAGCCCAAUUUCUUCAUGUGAGGGAGACUCUCAACUUUUAUUAUUUAUGCUGGCAGGGAGGGGCCUAGUGAUUCUGGUAAGUUCCAGGGCCUUCCUGAAGCUAUUUUGAGUUGUUUACCUUCCUGUUCAAAGAGUUUCCCUGUAGGGUGGACUCUCUUUCAAUCUCAGAGGAAACCUAAGUUAGGCAAGUGCCUUCGGUCCUAAGACUCCAGAGGCAGACAGACCUCUGAGGGUGAGAAGCUAGCCUGGUCUACACUGCCAGUUCCAGACCAGCCAGGGUCAUACAAUGAGACCCUGUCUUU